rnacentral:sRNA from 1 species
AUAAUGACCGAAACUGGCAUCAAGCCGCUU